rnacentral:rRNA from 1 species
GACGAACGCUGGCGGCGUGCCUAAUACAUGCAAGUAGGACGCAGUUGCGAACGGGUGAGUAACGCGUAGGUAACUACCUAUUAGAGGGGGAUAACUAUUGGAAACGAUAGCUAAUACCGCAUACUAGUAGAUGGACCUGCGUUGUAUUAGCUAGUAGGUAGGGUAAUGGGCUACCUAGGCAACGAUACCUAGCCGACCUGAGAGGGUGAGCCGCCAAACUUGGACCGGGACACGGCCCCGACUUCCACGGGAGGCAGGAGUAGGGAAUCUUCGGCAAUGGGGGGAACGCUGACCGAGCAAAGCCGCGUGAGUGAAGAAGGGUUUCGGAUCGUAAAGCUCUGUUGUUAAGGAAGCGGUACUUAACCAGAAAGGGACGGCUAACUACGUGCCAGCAGCCGCGGUAAUAC